GACUUGUCGAAUGCUCUGAUGUUGUCGAGCAGGUCAACCAGCGUUUUCAGACUGGUGAUGGUGGUGGCUCUGCCAGUGGUGGUUCUUGGGGCAGUGAAGAGGUGCUGCAGGCAAAUAUUGUCGGCACAGCAUUGUUGGAAAGUCUCGGUCUAUCGAGACGGGCUUGGAGGACUGCUCCGGUUCUGGGGUCUGUGUACUGUGUUGACGUGAUCACGAAUCUGUCUUCAAAGUGUGCUGCACACACCUACAAUAAAGAAAGUAUGACUGUUU